AUACGUAGGUGGCGAGCGUUGUCCGGAUUUACUGGGCGUAAAGGGAGCGUAGGCGGACUUUUAAGUGAGAUGUGAAAUACCCGGGCUCAACUUGGGUGCUGCAUUUCAAACUGGAAGUCUAGAGUGCAGGAGAGGAGAAUGGAAUUCCUAGUGUAGCGGUGAAAUGCGUAGAGAUUAGGAAGAACACCAGUGGCGAAGGCGAUUCUCUGGACUGUAACUGACGCUGAGGCUCGAGAGUGU
rnacentral:rRNA from 1 species